AUGGACAGCUGCUGCCGUGCAUGCCGCCCGAACCUAGGCCUUGCUUUCUUCGGCCGCUUCCUCAGGACGGGCCUCAAGGCAGACCAGAUCGUCGCCAGCAACCUCCUCAAGUGCCUCUGCCACGCAAAACGGACGGAUGAGGCUGUCAACAUGCUGCUUCAUAGGAUGUCCGAGUUCGGAUGUGUGCCUAAUGUCAUCUCAUACUCUAUAGUACUUAAGAGCUUAUGUGACGAUAGCAGGAGCCAGCAAGCGCUCGACUUGCUCCAGAUGGUGAGGAAAGAAGGAGGUGCCUGCUCCUUCAAUGUGGUGGCAUAUAGCACGGUCAUCCACGGCUUCUUUAAGGAAGGGGAAGUAAGCAAGGCAUGCGAUCUGUUCCAUGAAAUGAUGCAGCAAGGGAUUGUGCCUAAUGUGGUGACAUAUAGCUCGAUUAUUGAUGCCUUGUGCAAGGUCAGGGCAAUGGACAAGGCAAAGCUGGUCCUUCAGCAGAUGGUUGAUAAUGGUGUUCGACCAAAUAUGUAUACAUGGAACUCAUUCAUGUACUCCCUUUGCAAGAAUGGAAGAAGCAAAGAAGCUGCAGAAUUUUUUGACUCCAUGACCUCCAAGGGCCUCAAACCUAAUAUCAUCGUGUACUCUACUCUUCUUCACGGGUAUGCUACCGAAGGAUGCUUAGCUGAUAUGAUUAAUCUCUUUAAUUCAAUGGAAGGCAAUGGUAUUGUAGCUGACUGCAAUGUUUUCAACAUAUUAAUUGAUGCAUAUGCUAAAUGUGGAAUGAUGCAUGAAGCUAUGCUCAUAUUUACCAAAAUGCGGGAACAAGGAGUGAGUCCGAAUGUAUGCACCUAUGCAACUGUAAUAGCUGCACUUUGCAGAAUGGGUAGGCUGUCUGAUGCAAUGGGCAAAUUAAAUAAGAUGAUUGCUACGGGAUUACAACCGGACGUGGCUAUUUAUACAUCCCUAAUUCAGGGCUUCUGUACACAUGGUGAUUUGGGGAAAGUGAAGGAACUGGUUUCUGAAAUGAUGAACAAAGGUAUGCCUCGUCCAAACAUUGUGUUCUUCAGCUCAGUAAUAAACAGUCUAUGCAAAGAAGGAAGAGUUACAGAUGCACACAGUAUCUUCGACUUGGCUAUAAACAUUGGUGAGAGGCCUGACGUCAUUACAUUUACUUCACUGAUUGACGGAUAUUGUUUAGUUGGCAAGAUGGAUAAAGCAUUCAAAGUACUUGAUGCCAUGGUAUCGGCUGGCAUCGAGCCUGAUGUUUAUACAUAUACUACCCUUCUUGAUGGCUAUUCUAGAAAUGGAAGGAUUGAUGAUGGGUUGACACUAUUCAGCGAAAUGAUGCAUAACAAAAUUAAACCUACAACUGCUACACAUGGCACCUUACUAAAUGGGUUGUUUCGUGCUGGGAGAACUGCUUCUGCGAAGAAAAUGAUCCAUGAGAUGAUUGAAAGUGGAACAACAGUGAGCCUUUCAAUAUACGCUAUAAUUCUUGAAGGACUUUGUAGAAAUAAUUGCGCCGAUGAAGCAAUCACGCUGUUCCAGAAAGUACGUGCAAUGAAUAUAAAAUUGGAUGUUGCAAUACUCAAUACCAUGAUCAAUGCAAUGUUUAAGGUUCAAAGAAGAGAAGAAGCUAAUGAUUUGUUUGCUUCAAUAUCGGCCAGUGGAUUGGUACCUAAUGCUUCUACCUACCGCACAAUGAUAACAAAUCUUCUAAAAGAAGGAUUAGUGGAAGAAGCUGAAAACAUGCUCUCAUCAAUGGAGAAGAGCUGUUGUGCUCCGGACUCUCGUCUUAUUAAUGAUAUCAUCAGAAUAUUAUUGGAACAAGGUGAGGUCGUCAAGGCUGGAAAUUAUAUGUCUAGAGUUGAUGGCAAGAGCAUCUCACUUGAAGCUUCAACUACUUCGCUGCUGAUACGUCUCUUUUCAAGGGAAGGCAAAUAUAGGGAGAAAAUAAAAUUGCUCCCUGUAAAGUAUCCAUUUUUUGGUGGAGCUACAGUUGAGUAG
rnacentral:rRNA from 1 species